rnacentral:rRNA from 1 species
AACGAACGCUGGCGGCAUGCCUAACACAUGCAAGUCGAACGAAGCCUUCGGGCUUAGUGGCGCACGGGUGCGUAACGCGUGGGAAUCUGCCCUUAGGUACGGAAUAACUCAUGGAAACGUGUGCUAAUACCGUAUGAUGUCUUCGGACCAAAGAUUUAUCGCCUAGGGAUGAGCCCGCGUUGGAUUAGCUAGUUGGUGAGGUAAAGGCUCACCAAGGCGACGAUCCAUAGCUGGUCUGAGAGGAUGAUCAGCCACACUGGGACUGAGACACGGGCCAGACACCUACGGGUGGCAGCAGUAGGGAAUAUUGGACAAUGGGCGAAAGCCUGAUCCAGCAACGCCGCGUGCGCGAUGAAGGCCUUCGGGUUGUAAAGCGCUUUUAGGGUAGAUGAGAAAGGACAGUAUCCUCUGAAUAAGCCUCGGCGAACUACGUGCCAGCAGCCGCGGUAAAACGUACUACUG